rnacentral:rRNA from 1 species
UUUAUGGAGAGUUUGAUCCUGGCUCAGGAUGAACGCUGGCGGCGUGCCUAAUACAUGCAAGUCGAGCGAACAGAUAAGGAGCUUGCUCCUUUGACGUUAGCGGCGGACGGGUGAGUAACACGUGGGUAACCUACCUAUAAGACUGGAAUAACUCCGGGAAACCGGGGCUAAUGCCGGAUAACAUGUUGAACCGCAUGGUUCUACAGUGAAAGACGGUCUUGCUGUCACUUAUAGAUGGACCCGCGCCGUAUUAGCUAGUUGGUGAGGUAACGGCCUACCAAGGCGACGAUACGUAGCCGACCUGAGAGGGUGAUCGGCCACACUGGAACUGAGACACGGUCCAGACUCCUACGGGAGGCAGCAGUAGGGAAUCUUCCGCAAUGGGCGAAAGC